UACUGGUACAGGGGAGAUUUAUCUAUAUAAGGUCUUCACGUGGCUGGUCAGCCAAGUGUGUAUUGCUGGCAUUAAAUGGCCCUGUCUGAGAGAUGAGAACUAAUAGCAUCGGGGUUGGGUACAACAUAUGCCUGAAGGACUUUCCCACACUGGUAUCUCUGUCAGAGCUGCUGUUUGAAGGGAUGUGGUAAGUCUCUUGUUCAGACUCAGCAUCUGUUGCAAAAGAUGCAUUUACACUGCAGUCAAAAAAGACACAGCCUGAAUCUGGUUGCAGAAACAAUCUUGGAGCCUUAGGAUCCCUCCCCACUCCCCCAAAUCGGUUUUGUAGAUAAAGUAGUGAAAA